UACGUAGGGUGCAAGCGUUGUCCGGAAUUAUUGGGCGUAAAGAGCUCGUAGGUGGUCUGUCGCGUCUGGUGUGAAAACUCGGGGCUUAACCCCGGGCCUGCAUCGGGUACGGGCAGACUAGAGUGUGGUAGGGGAGACUGGAAUUCCUGGUGUAGCGGUGAAAUGCGCAGAUAUCAGGAGGAACACCGGUGGCGAAGGCGGGUCUCUGGGCCAUAACUGACACUGAGGAGCGAAAGCAUGGGGAGCGAACAGG
rnacentral:rRNA from 1 species